UACGGAGGGGGCUAGCGUUGUUCGGAAUUACUGGGCGUAAAGCGUACGUAGGCGGCUUGGCAAGUUAGAGGUGAAAGCCCGGAGCUCAACUCCGGAAUAGCCUUUGAGACUGCCUCGCUUGAACGUCGGAGAGGUGAGUGGAAUUCCGAGUGUAGAGGUGAAAUUCGUAGAUAUUCGGAAGAACACCAGUGGCGAAGGCGGCUCACUGGACGACUGUUGACGCUGGGGUACGAAAGCGUGGGGAGCAAACAGG
rnacentral:rRNA from 1 species